GAUGAACGCUGGCGGCGUGCUUAACACAUGCAAGUCGAACGGUGAACGAGGGAGCUUGCUCCCUCCGGAUCAGUGGCGAACGGGUGAGUAACACGUGAGCAAUCUGCCCUGGACUCUGGGAUAAGCGUUGGAAACGACGUCUAAUACCGGAUACGAGACGCGAAGGCAUCUUCAGCGUCUGGAAAGAACUUCGGUCUGGGAUGGGCCCGCGGCCUAUCAGCUUGUUGGCGGGGUAACGGCCCACCAAGGCGACGACGGGUAGCUGGUCUGAGAGGACGGCCAGCCACACUGGGACUGAGACACGGCCCAGACUCCUACGGGAGGCAGCAAUGGGGAAUCUUGCGCAAUGGGCGAAAGCCUGACGCAGCGACGCCGCGUGGGGGAUGAAGGCCCUCGGGUUGUAAACCCCUUUCGGCAGGGACGAAGCGAAGGUGACGGUACCUGCAGAAGAAGCUCCGGCUAACUACGUGCCAGCCGCCGCAGUAAUAC
rnacentral:rRNA from 1 species